AUAAUUUGUUGUUGAGCAGAGUGGCUUCACCUCAACUUCUCAGUAGUGGUAGGGUGUGAUUCCCCUGCUGCCAAUGAAGUUGAGCUUGCUUUGUUUUACCUUCAGCUUCAUUCUGACUCUAAUUCUGUGACCAAGUGCUCCUGUUUCCCUCCUGAGUACCCUGGGUCAUCCUCCUCAUGUCCUCUUUGGAAUCUAAGUUACAAAGAGGGUCUGGGGCAUUGCCCAUGGCAUCUUGAGCCAUGACCUUUGCAGUCAAGGACUCCAGUGCUGUGGAGCUGAAGUUUCCUGACUUGUAAGAAGACUCUCAGAGAACCCUGUCCCCACAGGAAGAGAAGAAUCAUAAUACCCAUACUCCCCAGACCUGUUUAAAACUCAUUUGUUUGCCUUUGUUUUAAAUUGUGUGUGUGCAUGUGCGUGCAUGUGUGUGUGUGUGUGUGUGUGUGUGUGUGUGUGUGUGUGUGUCUCAUCCAUCAAUUCUUCUCCUCUUCUCCCUGGCAACAACUCCUCCUGCUCAACAGAUGUGUCUCCCUCCCAGAACUAGUCUCUAGGACCUUUAUAGCUGAGGAAGUCCUUAGACAGAAAUUCAUUGUAGUUUGCCUUUUUGUUGUUGUUCCUAUUAAAAGGGUGCCCUUGGGAUCGGAUCACAUAUUCCUGUUGGAUCCUCUUUAAUGACCUAACUUCUUUAAACUGUGAUUUUCUUUCAGCUCAUCAAAGUGGCUUUGGAGAAAAGCUUGGCAACUGUGGAGACCCAGAGCACAACUCUUCCCCCUCCUUCCCUGGUAGGAGGGGACAGUAACAGGUGUCUUCAGGAGGAGAUGCUUCACCUGAAGGCUGAGAUCCACCAGCACUUAGAGGAGAAGAAGAAAGCUGAGGGGGAACUCAAGGAGCUAAAGGCUCAAAUUGAGGAAGCAGGAUUCUCCUCUGUGUCACACAUCAGGAAUACCAUGCUGAGCCUUUGCCUUGAGAAUGCAGAGCUGAAAGAGCAGAUGGGAGAAGCAAUGUCCGAUGGAUGGGAGAUGGAGGAAGACAAGGAGAAGGGCGAGGUGAUGGUGGAGACUGUGGUCACCCAAAGGGGUCUGAAUGAGAAUAGCCUUCAGGCUGGGUUCAGAAAGCUCCAGGGGAAACUGAAGAAUGCCCACAACAUCAUCAACCUCCUCAAAGAACAGCUAGUACUGAGCAGCAAGGAAGGGAACAGUAAACUAAAUCCUGAGCUCCUUGUGCACCUGGCCAAGGAGAUUGACAGAAUGAACACAGACCUGGUUGGUUCUCCUGGGAAACACCAACACCAAGAGGAGGGGGCUGUGGCCACGAGGCCUUGUCCUAGACCCCAGAGCCUUGACCUUGAGGAAACCAUUGCAGUUGAUGCCCACCAAGUAAGUGAGGGCAUGGGUGGAGUGAAAAACAUUCCUAGAGAGUUCAGUUUUGACCUUAAACUCUUCCAUCUUGUGGGUCAGGAAAGGUACUUUUGUACCAUAACCAGUAGAUGGUAA
rnacentral:lncRNA from 1 species